ACGCCUACAGUGCGCUCCCCCUCACUCCUUUUCCUCGGAGUGCCCGGCCCCGGCCCCCUUCUGCCCCUUUCCCCGGCAGGGUGAUACUUUGUCAAGCCGUAAUCCAACCCUGCUAAACCCGCGGGUAGAGCUGAAGCGCUGCGAUGAAUCUCGGCAGACUCAUUCCUCUCCUCGAGAGCUUGCUGCCCUUAGAAAUGACUUCAGCGCGCUUUUGCAAGUGUAAAGGGAAAUCAAGAUCCCCUCUUCAUGUCUCUUGAUCUUCACCAGACUAGAAGAACCUGUAGUUCUUAGAGCUGCAGUGGAAAGUGACCUGUUGUGUUUGUGGAAGCUCUGGAAUCCUGCAGGAGAAGGAUCACUCAGCACCGUGGCAAUCUGCCAAGUACAACUUGUUCUGAAACACAGUGGCUCUGAGAAGUUGCAUUAUCAACUGAAACACAAUGUCAGCUUAGCAGGAGGUUGCUGGCUGACCCUUCUACACAGAGGUGGGGGUGGGGAACAACAUCAGUCUAGACAGAAGAGGACAACAACUAGCUGUCCACUCAGGCUGCAGAUUAGAGGUCUUAAUACAAACUUAAAACCUCGUCUAGGUUUCCAUCAACAGUGAGCAAACAAUAUGCUAAUUUACCAAAUAACAAGUGUUGUCUCAUUUUAAUGAGACAAAAUAUUUCUAACACUUUACCUUCUCAAACAUCUAAGGGGAAAAGAGGGAACAUUUGAUCAACUGACUCCCACUGUAAAUUCCUGGUAGUUUUACAUUUGUUCGUGAAGCAGUCUGAAAGAGACAAUAAUGUAAUAAAGCUUUUUUUGAAAUAACCCGUUUUCUACA
rnacentral:lncRNA from 1 species